rnacentral:rRNA from 1 species
CAUGGCUGUCGUCAGCUCGUGUCGUGAGAUGUUGGGUUAAGUCCCGCAACGAGCGCAACCCUUGCCAUUAGUUGCUACGAAAGGGCACUCUAAUGGGACUGCCGGUGACAAACCGGAGGAAGGUGGGGAUGACGUCAAGUCCUCAUGGCCCUUAUAGGUGGGGCUACACACGUCAUACAAUGGCUGGUACAGAGGGUUGCCAACCCGCGAGGGGGAGCCAAUCCCAUAAAGCCAGUCGUAGUCCGGAUCGCAGUCUGCAACUCGACUGCGUGAAGUCGGAAUCGCUAGUAAUCGCGGAUCA